CGAGGAGAGACGCUGGAGUGUGAACAGAGCAGCUGUCAAUCAGCUUCCAUGCUGCCAGAAGUCACCCUGGCAGCAUCUCAGCCUCUGCCUAAGGCUGUUGGACACUGCGAGGAGCCUGCUAGUGGGCUGAAAGUGAGGGGGCAGCAAGUAGAGACCUACAUUUAGGGUGUGCAGAUGUCAACUUGUGACGUGCUUUCUCCUCGACAGGGAAGUGGGGAGAUGGUCGUGUCUGCAGCUGGAUCAUUAGCUUCUUUUCGCUCUGAUACCAUACAGCAUGUAUCAUAUCCAGCAAGGCUACAUUACAGAAUACAAUUAAGCAAGCGCAUGCCUAUCUCCUUUGGAAACCUGGAAAGUAAGAUACAGCAAAGAGAAGAGAAAACUGAAUAGCUGAGAUCGAAAAAAGAGAAAGCUCGCAUAUACAGCCUGUGUAAGGAAAAUGCAUAAAAAUAAACUCAGGUGGACCCCAAUGUGGAGGAUGGAG
rnacentral:lncRNA from 1 species